AUUGAACGCUGGCGGCAGGCCUAACACAUGCAAGUCGAACGGUAACAGGAAACAGCUUGCUGUUUCGCUGACGAGUGGCGGACGGGUGAGUAAUGUCUGGGAAACUGCCUGAUGGAGGGGGAUAACUACUGGAAACGGUAGCUAAUACCGCCUAACGUCGCAAGACCAAAGAGGGGGACCUUCGGGCCUCUUGCCAUCGGAUGUGCCCAGAUGGGAUUAGCUAGGAGGUGGGGUAACGGCUCACCUAGGCGACGAUCCCUACCUGGUCUGAGAGGAUAGCCGGCGAGACUGGAACUGAGACACGGUCCAGACUACUACGGGAGGCAGCAGUGGGGAAUAUUGCACAAUGGGCGCAAGCCUGAUGCAGCCAUGUCGCGUGUAUGAAGAAGGCCUUCGGGUUGUAAAGUACUUUCAGCGGGGAGGAAGGGAGUAAAGUUAAUACCUUUGCUCAUUGACGUUAGCCGCAGAAGAAGCACCGGCUAACUCCGUGCCAGCCGCCGCGGUAA
rnacentral:rRNA from 1 species